AGGAGGAACAACAACGGUGGCGGCACCAGCUCUCCAGCCCUGGAGUCAGCUCCCACAGGAAUUACUGCAGCUCUCAGUCUGCAGGGCCUGGAUGCUCCGGGGCUGG
rnacentral:pre_miRNA from 1 species